UACGUAGGGGGCUAGCGUUGUCCGGAAUCAUUGGGCGUAAAGAGCUCGUAGGCGGUUCAGUAAGUCGGGUGUGAAAACUUUGGGCUUAACCCAAAGCGUGCAUCCGAUACUGCUGUGACUUGAGUUCGGUAGGGGAGUGGGGAAUUCCUAGUGUAGCGGUGAAAUGCGCAGAUAUUAGGAGGAACACCGGUGGCGAAGGCGCCACUCUGGGCCGAAACUGACGCUGAGGAGCGAAAGCAUGGGUAGCAAACAGG
rnacentral:rRNA from 1 species